UACAGAGGGUGCGAGCGUUGUCCGGAUUUACUGGGCGUAAAGGGCGCGUAGGCGGCGCGGUAAGUCACUUGUGAAAUCUCUGAGCUUAACUCAGAACGGCCAAGUGAUACUGCAGUGCUAGAGUGUGGAAGGGGCAAUCGGAAUUCUUGGUGUAGCGGUGAAAUGCGUAGAUAUCAAGAGGAACACCUGAGGUGAAGACGGGUUGCUGGGCCAACACUGACGCUGAGGCGCGAAAGCUAGGGGAGCAAACAGG
rnacentral:rRNA from 1 species